GGGCUCACAAUCAGUCCAAUUGAUUCUUACUGGCUCACCAACUAUAAAAUCUUACACCAUCUGAUUUAUGGCUCGGAUCAACCCUUGAAAACCUAAGUUUCUUCUUUAAGAAACUUGUCUCAAUAGUUUAAAAAAGAAUAUACAAGAAUUUAAAAUAUAAAUAAUAAACUCUUCAAACAGUUGAAGAAGUCGAUGUGGUUGAGCUCUUGAAUUGCUUGAACUUCUUUUUUGAAUGCUUAAGGAAGAUUUGAUGAAG
rnacentral:lncRNA from 1 species